GGCGGUGUCUGCGGCUCUCCGAGCCACGGUGCUCCAGAAGAGGAAGGUCGAGGAUUCCCUGGGAACGUUGAGGAGGCAGCUGUCCCACCUCAACCAGGCCCUACUCGAUGCAACCAGUCCCUGCCUGACCUCGGGGACUGUGACAGUAGCUGAUGUUGUACUCUGGGGAGACCUGUACCCCCUCCUACAGGAUGUCUCCUGUCUUCCAGGGGAGUUUGAGGCUCUGCGGGGUUGGCUGCAGCAGCUGAGUCAGACUCGCGCCUGUCGCAGAGCAGCAGCUGCAGUGCUGGAUGGGGGUGGCCUGGAGGUCUUCAGAAGUCACCUGCAGAAGCUGCCCGCCCCAGCCCCGCUGUCCGAGAGACCACCCUCCAACGACUGUGAGGAAGGCGAUGCCCCUGACUGCCAACUGACUGAGGAGGAGGUCCAGGCGGCUGACGAAGCGUGGCACAGUGGGCUGUCUGCGCUGCCGAAACCUGGGAAGGUGCAGCACCCUGUGUGA